rnacentral:rRNA from 1 species
GCAAUGGCAUAAGCCAGCUUGACUGCGAGCGUGACGGCGCGAGCAGGUGCGAAAGCAGGUCAUAGUGAUCCGGUGGUUCUGAAUGGAAGGGCCAUCGCUCAACGGAUAAAAGGUACUCCGGGGAUAACAGGCUGAUACCGCCCAAGAGUUCAUAUCGACGGCGGUGUUUGGCACCUCGAUGUCGGCUCAUCACAUCCUGGGGCUGAAGUAGGUCCCAAGGGUAUGGCUGUUCGCCAUUUAAAGUGGUACGCGAGCUGGGUUUAGAACGUCGUGAGACAGUUCGGUCCCUAUCUGCCGUGGGCGCUGGAGAACUGAGGGGGGCUGCUCCUAGUACGAGAGGACCGGAGUGGACGCAUCACUGGUGUUCGGGUUGUCAUGCCAAUGGCACUGCCCGGUAGCUAAAUGCGGAAGAGAUAAGUGCUGAAAGCAUCUAAGCACGAAACUUGCCCCGAGAUGAGUUCUCCCUGAC